UCGGCAACCGUUCGAUCCUCCCAUCCCCACCUCCCGCCGUCGGAUUACAAUACUCGUGAUCCCGAUCAACACCCUUUGGCAAAGCCAUGCCCCACAUCAAGUCGUUGGCGACCAGCGGCAAUAUCCGGUCGUUGAUCAACCUCGUCUCGGAUUCAGUCCUAUGGACCCCGCCGAAAUAAGGCUGGUUUAGAAUCAGCCCUCGGAUCUUCAUCGGCAAGAGAUCAUCACCCGAGACGCGUAAACCCGCGUGGUAGGCGAUGUUAGCUCCGGCGCUGCUGCCCAUUAGGAAGGACCUGGAGAAGUCAACGGCGUCUUUCAACCAGGGAUCGCAGCCGUCGACGUCGGAGGCCUGGCGGUGGACCCAGGUGAUGGUGUCGACGGCGUCAUCGUAGGCUGAAGGAAGAGGAUGUUCGGGAGCCAAGCGGUACUCGACGGAGACAAUUAGGGCUUGGAGAGCCAGGGCCAUGCGAGAGCAGGAGUCGUGGAAUGGUUUGGAGGCGGCGGAGAAGAGGACGAAGCCGCCUCCGUGGAAGUAGAUGAUGAGAGGGAGGCGGGGGUUUGGGGGGAGAGGGUGGGGUUUGAAGAGCCUGAAGAAGGUUUUUGUUUCUGGGUUUAAGGGAAUGUCCUUGGAGAGGACGAGUUGGGGAGAGUUGGAGUCUGACUCGGCGGCCGUGGCGGAAAUGGACUCGGUGGGGGUGGGAGUUGGGGAGACGGUGGGGAAAGGGGUGAAGCGGGUGAGGGAGCCAUCAGGGUUGGGGAGGAUUUUGAGGAGUUUGUAGGGGUCAAUGGAGGUUGGGGAUGAAGAAGGUUGAUACGCCAUGGAUGUUGUUGAAACUCGCAGAUGAAGCGUUUGUGCAAAUGCUUAGCUGAAAGAAGAGGGUUUAUAAGUUUAUAUGUGGAAGACAAUGAGUGACGAGUGACGAGGUAAUAGUGGGAAAAAUGGUUAGGUGUUUGGUGAAGAAAAUUAAAGUGAAGACUUGGGGACUACCUGUUUUAGUUGCAUGCUAUUGAAUUCUCGACCUAAAAGUGAACUGAUUAAUUGAUUGGGAUUCAGUUGGGUUUGCACGCGGGUGGGGAUAUGUGUGUUAACAUCCAAAUUUCACAAGUAAGGAGUGAGGUGCUUAAAAAAAAAAAGCACCCAUAAAAAAAAAGUUGUGAAAGUUUUAGGUGUUUGGUAAACUGAAAAAAAAAAUACUUAUUUUGGAAGCUGCUGUGAGAAUAAGCUGAAAUCAAAGGAAAAAGCUGAAGCUGUUAUUUGUAGUUUUGGAAAACUGGCUUUUUUUCAAAGCACACGGAGCUACAAUGCUCCUUUAAUGAAAAGACUCACUAUCAGACUGCUUUUUUUUUCCAAAAGCACUUUUACAAAAAAGUUUACCAAACACUCUGCUGAUUUAUUUCACAGCCGCUUAUUCUCACAGCACAGCCGCUUAUUCUCACAACAGUUUUUUUUUAAAGCACAGCAAUACCAAACCAGCCCUUAGUAUUACGAUCUCGUGAUAUUUCUCUUUAUUUUUAAAUAAAAAAUUUUAGGUUCGAUUAUCGCAAAAAACAAAUUUGAACCAUAUUAUUACUAGUCCGUUGUGAAACUUAAUUCACCCACUCCUUAGUGUAGGUAUAUCGUUCGUUCGAAAAAAAAAAAAAAAAAAGAUCCCACAAAGGUUAACAUGCGGCUUGUAAUCAGUAUCGGAAGGAGAGGGGGGAGUGGGGUAGGGUGGAAUGAGAAGCUUCACCCACUCUUCUUAGUGUACAUAUAUUGUUUGUUCGAGAUAAAAAAAAACAGAUCUCACAAAGAUUAACAUGCGGCUUGUAAUCAGUAGCGGAAGGAGAACAUGACCCCAACAACUUUAUAUUAUUACUCCACACAAUUUUGCUAUUAAUCCCCAUAUACCCCAAUAAGAAUUUCCAAUAAUUAGGUUCAGUUUAAGUUUAUGUCUGCAUGCCUUUGAUUUCUGUCAUUUAUCAAAACACACAUUUUUUUUUUGAAAGAUAUCAAAACACUAUUAAUCAAUAAUAUUUCGUAGUGAGUUCAAUCAAUUUGAUUUUCAAAUUAUUAUCAUAGUUUAAUGAUUGAAUUAUUAUUUAAACGUUGAUUAAUGUGCUUAUUUUCUAUUGGUGGCAGAUCAUUUGAUUUUCAAAUUUGUUAUAAUGAAAGUAAGACAAAAUACAUGGAAAAGAAACGGUCGACUUAGUCUUUUAAAAAAAAAAAUUUAUUAUCAUAGUGUUUGGCCCCAAAAUAUUAUUUUGGGCUGAGCCUGGGAUUAUUCUCGGCCCAGUAGAGUUUAUCUAGAAUUUUCUUGUGGGCCGUCCAGUUAAGGUCGGCCAAAUCUUGUUGCGAGGAGGAUUAGUUUAGAUAAGGGUGAAGUAGUCGACUCCUAGUGCAGCAACGAGUCUUAAAGCUAAUCAGGAGAUGAAUCUGAUUUGUUAUGGAGUUUGGUUCAAAGUCAUAUUGGAGCUAGGACUGGCCGAAACCUAAUUAGAUAGGGUUGAGGAGUUCUAAUCCGAGUACAUUUCUAGUUCAGUUACGAGGGGGUUUUGCUGCUAUAAAUAGAGAAAGAAGUGCAUCAUUCAAAACCCUCUCCAAUUCAACACAUAAAAUUGCCCUGCACAAAGUUUCUCAACAACCUUGAGAUUUUAUCUUCUUCCCCUUUCUUCCUGCCAACACAUCUUCAGUUUGGAUAAACAACACUGUGAAGGUAACCGGCGACAUCUUUAGUUUGGAUAAACAACACUGGAGUCAUAGAAUCAACCGAUAAAGGAGCACCUUCAUAUUGGUUAGACAUCACUGCUUUAAGGCCGACUGGUUAUUAUCCAAGUCUCGGUUGACAAGGAUUCUUAAGUCCUUGAUGGUAGAGGUCAUCUAUUAGGCUUGGCACAUUGAACGCCAAGUUUGUUUUAUGAUUGGGUACUCACAGGUACAUUUUAGAGUUCGGCAUUCUGACGACCGAACCACGUUUACCAUCAAGACAUUUAUCUCAUUCGAGUAUUUGUGUCUGUAUAGUCUGGUGCCAGUUCAGCGUGUUUAUACUCUUACAAAUAUAAUCACCAUAAUCGAACCCAGCGUCGACGAUCCGUGAACUUCGUAAGACUAGCAGCCUUAUCUUCAAGCUCUAGAACUCAAAGGCCGAGACGUGUUCCUUUCUCGACUGCAAUCGCAAGAUCGAGAAGUCAGGAGUGCUCUCAAUUUAACAUCAGCAUAUUUUACUCUCCGGUCGAGCUCGGUCGUCGAGUUGGCAUGCCCCGCACAUAACUGAAAGACGUAAUUAGCUCAUUAGUUACUCGGCCUGCGCGCCACGUAGGCUUGGUAGUUUUUAGGGUCAACACAUAAGAAGAGCAGAAUUUUGAACCCAUAAAACAUAGGCGUAAACCCUACACCCUAGCCACUAGGAUAUUAGACCAUAUGCACAAUCGACUCAGUCCCACAUCAAAUGAAGUCCACCGAGGUCAAGCUUCUUAAAAGUUAACUCUGAUGGGUCUAUAGUUGGUGAAAAGACUAUUGCAAAGGUUUGUUAUCAGGGUUUCUUUUCAAUCAAUCUCUUGGAAACAUAUCUUUGGAGAGACCAAUUUCCUUGCAGAUUUUGUCACUAGUGUGGGACUCAAUAUUAGUGAUACUUAUAUACGAGAUCAUACCUCCCUACAAAUGCUAGGCAUGCUCUUAUAUUUGAUCUUUUUGGAACUGGUUGUACUCAACAAUUUUCUGAAGAAAAGAUGCACGGGCCACUAUUUCUCUUAUAUACGCUACGCUAUUUGAAGAUAAUGAUUUGAAUGCCUAUCCCCUACCUAUGCACUUUCCUUUACUACCUUGAAGUGGAUCUCCUAUCUAUAUUCGACAGCUUGAAGAGGGAAGAAGAAGUAAAGCGAAUGCUCGUUCUGUUGGAACUCUCGAUCUGAUCUUGAAACAGGGGAAGGGAGAUCGAUCUCAAUCUCUCGAAUCCUUCUCUCCUUCCCAACGUUAUUUGUCCAAGGGGAAAAGGCUUGCAAACAGUAUUUUUUUGAAAAAAAAAACACUAUGUUUCUUCCUUUGUUACUAUAAUGAAAAUUAUAGUUUGUCAACCAAAACGUAAUUAUAAUUUUAAUUUUGCACGUUAGCGGAAUACAUGUGGCAUGAAAAAAAGUUAGACUGUUAAAAUGAGAAUGUAACUGAGGAUUGAAAGCACUUUAUAGAAAGAAAAUGAAUGAUUAUGCGAUAUUUACUCGUUGCUAGGCCCGAAUUAAACUAGCAUAAUUUCUCCUUUAAAGAAUUGGGCCUCCAUCCUCCCCAGUCUAUGGUACCCCAACUCAAUAAGAAAACAUUAAGAUGUGUUGGACCAAGGUGAUGAAACCCAAAGAUGCCAACCACCAACCAUACGUCUAAUAACGAAGGAAGCUUAAAACAUCUUACAACAUCAUUACUAUUUAAGUCCCCCAAAAUAGGGAUCAUUCAGUAUUAAGGUCUAAUGGUAUUUCUCUUCAUUUGUAAGUGAAAGGUCUUACGUUCGAACCUCGUAAAUGACAAAUUCGAUACCAAAUUAUGUUACCCAUUACGUGGCUUAGCCAAUCUCCUCCCUACCAUAGUGUAAAAUAUAUUGUUGUACUUAUAAAAACAAAAAAGGCCCCCAAAACAGAGAUUUUCGUAUAUGUUAUACACCAAGAUUUUUGUGUAAUUAAAUUAUUGGUCAAAGAUCAAUACUUAAAGAUCCAAUGCUUAGGAUCUAAUGUUAAAAAGACCCAUAGUGUAUUUUUACUCACACCUCUAAAGUAAGGGUUAUGCUCACUCCAUUUUGCUGUUAGAUUAGUUUAAAUUUCAAGAUUCAUGUCCCAAAUCAAUUAAAACAAACUAAUCUAACGGCAAUCCAUGAAGUGUGUUGAUGCACAAAAUCAGUGAUGACUUUGGAACAAUGUAAAGUGUCAAGUUUGUGACCUUCGCUCAGUUGCUCCGGUCACCUAGUAAGGAUAAUAUGUAAAGAGAUAGCGAAAGGGAAGCAAACACAAGAUGUACGUGGUUCACCAUAAAUUUGACUACAUCCAUGAAGUAGAGGAGUUCUCAUUAAUAGUGAAGGGUUUACACAAAUACAUAUGUUCAAGCAUAAUCAUCAUUAGUGAGCUCUAACGACUAGUUUAAGUACAAUAUUGACAUUAGAGAUUCAUUGUAGGAGAAUUGUUUUCUUUUAUAGUUCAGGAGAGUCUUCAACUUUUGUCCGCAGUCGAUGUGGGACUCGAUGAGCUUUAUUCUGAUGUUGACAUGUGUCAUGCUGUGAUUGACCUCCUGGUUGGAGGGAAACUCUUGUGCUUCGGCCGGGGUGCCUCAGUGGAUCCUUGAAACUAUGAAGUAGAUCGAUGCUUGGUAAUUUCGGGAUUGGUCAAGUAUGGUACAAACAGUGGUCCCCUAAGUUCUCGUGUGAGGAAAGCUUUUUGGUUGGGGACUUGAAAAAUCCAAGUCACUAAGUAAUCACGAAACUUCUGAGUACCGAAGUGUAGUAGCAUAUAGUGGGAGUCCCCCAAGUAUCCAAGUGAAGAGGAUAAUCGAAGGAGGUGGCUUGAUAUUCUUGAGUCAUUAGAAAAAAGACUUCAAAAAUUCUAUCCUCAUUUUUUUUUUUAUGAACUUAGCUCAAGUAUAUAUAUUUUUUCUUAAGCCCAAUUCCUUCUUUCUUUUGGUGAGAAAAGAAAAUGUGGUUGAAACCUUUUCCUUUGUGUACAUACCUUGAAUGGUUGAAGUUUUUGCCUUUGGGCACAUAGCUUGAGUGGUUGAAGCUUUGUAGGUGAAACUUUUUUGUUGAAACUUUGUAGGUGAAGCUUUUUCCUUUGGGCACAUAGAUUAAGUGGUUGAAACUUUGUAGGUGAAGCUUUUUGGUUGAACUUUGUGGGUGAAGCUUUGUAGGUGAAUUUUUUUGGUUGAAGCUCUAUAGGUGAAGCCUUUUGGUUGAAGCUUUGUAGGUGAAGCUUUUUGGUUGAAGCUUUGUAGGUGAAACUUUUUGGUUGAGGCUUUGUAGGUGAAACUUUUUGGUUAAAGCUUUUUUUAACCACAUAAAAAGAUUUUGCUUCCACAUUCUUUAGCAAAAGUGUGGAAGGCUUUUUGAAUUUUUUGUUGAAGCUUUCGGUUGAAGAUUUUGGUUGAAGCUUUUUUGAACCACAUAAAUAAAUUUUGCUUCCACACUCUUGAGCAAAAGUGUGGAAGGCUUUUUGAAUUUUUUGUAGUUAGGCAAAGUGUGAAGCUUCCUCCCUUCAAGGUGUGGGAGGCUUCUUCCCUCAAAGUGUGUGAAGGCUUUUUCCCUUUAAGGGUGUGGGAAGCUCUCUCCCUUGGAUGUGGGUAGCUCUUUCCCUUCAAGGGUGUAGGUAGCUAUCUCCCUUCAAGGGUGUGGGUAGCUAUUUCCCUUAGGUGUGAAAAGCUCUCUCCUUUCAAGGGUGUGGGAAGCUCCCUCCCUUCAAAGUGUGGUAAGCUCUACCCUUCAAAGUUGUGGGAACCUUCCUCCCUUCGACGUGUGGGAAACUUCCUUUCCUUCGAAGUAUGGGAAGCUCCCUCCCUUCAAAGGUGUGGGAAGCUUCCUCCCUUCAAAGUGUGGAAAGCUUCCUUCCCUUAAAGUGUGGGAAGCUCCUCCCUUCAAGGGUGUGGGAAGCUCUACCCUUCAAAAUGUGAGAAGCAUUUUAUAAGACUCCAUAAAUUGAUUUUGCUUCUACACUCUUGAGCAAGAAGGCUGAUGAGAUGACCUCUACCAACAAGAACUCGAAAAUCCUUGUUGACCGAGACUUGGAUAAAUAACUAGUCGGUCUUGAAGCAGUGUUGUUUAUCCAAACUGAAUGUGCUCCUUGGUCAUUUGAUUCUACAACUCCAAUGUUGUUUAUCCAAACUGAAGUUGUCACCGGUUGCCUUCACAAUGUUGUUUAUCCAAACUGGAGAUGUGUUGGCGAAAAAAAAAUAAAAAAUAAAAAUCUCAAGGUGUUUGAGAGGUUUACGUAGGGCAAUUGUGUGUUGAAUUGGAUGAGUUGUCCUCAUUGCAGAUUGUCCUAUAUUUAUAAGGGUGAACUUUCACGAUGACCAGAUAACCAAGUUACAGAGUUCUCUGCAAACCAUACCUUGUGAAAUAAUAAUCAUGAACUACCACGCAUUAUCCUUUGAAUUUUGGUGAUAUCGUAAUGUUAAUCAUUGAGAUGCAUUGGACCUUUUAAUCUUCAUUGUACAUCACCAUCUUAAUGUUUCAAACGGACAAAAAUGGCAUAUUCAUAUGCUAAUCAUCCAAAGUUGCAUCCUUGUACCAUUGUUCCACGUGGUUCUGGAUGCAAACCCAUUCAAAUAUGGAAUCCAUGCAACUGACUAGAUACAUUUUGAUUAGGAUAGAAUCCUAAAGCUACACGGAAAGCCCUCACAUAACUCUUCUUACUGCCGUGUUGAUUGUAAGGGGUUGGCAAGUAGCCAGCUAUGCAAUCUCUUUUAAUUUCUCCACAACCCGAUAAAACCUUUGAUUAUCUGCAAAAGGAUCCCACGCAUAACUCUGUAAGCUUUAAUGAUAUUUUCAAGAUAAUUAUUAUGAUUAAAAUCAAUAGUAAUGCCAAGAAAAAUCUCUUAAUUUUCAUAGUCAUCCGACGACCACAAUUGCUUGGGCCGAAAAUGCAAAAUCGGGUCCAAACAACCAUAUAAGACGAUUUUGCUUCCAAACUCUUGAGCAAGAGUGUAGAAGACAAUCUACAUGUUGUAGUUGUUGAAGGGUUGUUGAACCAUAUAAUACGAUUUUUCCUCCACACUCUUGAGCAAGAAUGUGGAAGGCUUUGUUGAGUUUGUAUAUGCCUUUUCCGAAUUCUAAGGCUUGAAAUUUUUCAACUGCUUAUGAAUGUUAAGAAUCCACAGGUGCAUGUUGUACUAUUCUUCCCUAGUUGAUGAAAAGAAGGUAAGUUCUUUCAUCACUUGGUUGGUGAGAAGAGUGGUGAGUUGUUGAGGCAAAAAUGUUUAAUAAAGUACUAGUUGUAUCUUCCACCACUUGGUUGGUGAUAAGAAGGUGAGUUCCUUGAUCACCUAGUUGGUAAGAAGAGUGGCAAGUUGCUGAAUCUCAAUAUUGUUUAUUAGAGUACUGGUUGUGCCCUUCAUCACCUGGUUGGUGAUAUGAAGGUGAGUUCCUUCAUCAUCUGGUUGGUAAGAAGAGUGGCAAGUUGCCAAAACUUAAAAUUGUUUCUUAGAGUAUUGGUUGUACUCUUCAUCACCUGGUUGGUGAAACAAAGAUGAGUGCUUCAUCACCUGGUUGGUGGAAAGAACGGCGAGUUACCAAGGUACAUUGUAGCACGUGCCAAAAGAAAAAAAGUGUAUGUUAACACCCUUUCGUAAUUAUGUAUGAAUGUUUUGGAGGGUAUGAAGUUUAUGUUGAUUGACAUAAGUAAUACUUAUGACAUGAGUGAUGUUCAUGACAUGCAUGUUGUUUAUGAAUGUUUUGCUGUGCAUGAAGGAAUCCAUUGUUUGGAUAUGUGAACCGUGUUGGUUAUACCACUUAGUUUCACUUACUUGGUGUUGAAGUACGUAUGUUGAUGCUUUAAGUUAAAGUAUAGAGGUAGGUUAGAGUUAGACCUAGUGUCCAGUGUUAGGAAUGCAAAAGACUUAGACGAAGUUGUCUGAAUUGCCUCUUCAUUAAAUAUUUUCCAAAUGGCUUGUGUUACAAAGGAUGUCAAACGGUUGAAGGUUGAAACAUUUGUUAUGCGUAUGCCUUUCUAUAAUAGCAUUUUCUUCAGUAUCCAGUCCUCCACUUUGAAAAAACGAUGUUUGACCCCAUGGUCAUAACAGUUGAAGGUACGUUCACCCCUGAUUGUCUUGAAACGAACCUUUAUUCCUCUUGUUGUAAUAAGCUUGUUGAGAGUAAAAAUUCUUCCUUUUGCCAAAAGGCAAAUAAGCCUGGUCACCUGGCAGGUUGCUAAGUGGGGCAGGAGGGGAUGCAAUGAGUGUUUGGAUGGCCAAAACCUUCUCACUUGGUAGAACUUGACAUUUACUCCCUACUUGUUGAUAGGGGUUUACCUUAUGAGGGUUCCCUUGGUAUGUCCUUGCCUCAGCAAAUGCAUGAUUGUAAGCUUGCGUCAUCACCUCAAAGUAAGUCUUCCAAGUGUUAGCAUUGAUCAUCUAAUUGAAGUAGAAUUCACGCAUGCCUACUGUGAAGGCCCUGAAUGUUGUUUUGUCAUCUGCCUCAGCACAACGACAGUACUCGUGGUUAAAGCGACCGACAUAUUCUCGCAAUGACUUGUUUGAUUUUUUACGAAUAGUGUAUAACUCAUUAGCAAAGUGUAAACGAUCAGCUUGGAAGAUAUGUUGAGCCACAAAGAGUCUCCUUAGCUCAGCAAAAGAAUCUAUCGUAUCAGGUUGAAGACCACAAUACCAAUUAAGAGUUCCACCAGAGAGAAUGGAGGGAAAAAUGAGAUAUCGUUCCUCAUCACUAUAUCUUCGAUAUGUUAUGGUGGAUUCAAAGAGGUGGAUAUGUUCAAUUGGAUUUUCUCUCUCUGAAUAAGAUUGCAAGCCAAGCUUCUAUUUUAUUUCUCCUCGUAGAAAAGUGCAAAGGAUCAUUUUUAUCAGAUGGCUUAGCCUUGGCUGAUUCCAGUCAGGUAUCCUAGCGUGACGUUCAGCCUUCAACUUGUUCACUUCCUCAAUGAGCUGCAAGAUAAGGGGGUCCUAAGUGGAGUCGGACAUCAUUAAUGAUUUCUUUUGUAGGUUUCCAUCAUUUCUUGAAAGUAGGGAAGAUCAGUCAAGGACAUCUGGCAUUUCCUUGGACUCAAUAUAUUGGCUAUUCUAAUGUGCUUAUUGAAAGUCCCCUGAGUCUCAUACGCCCUUUUGUUGCCGCAAGGCUUGUCGUUCCUUUCCUAGAUUAGGGGUUGGCCUAUGUUAUAAUAGAGGACUUAGCCCUUCAAUGACCCUUGGGUCUUUGAUCUUUGAGCCUAUAUGGAUAGAAUUUUCUCGACGCUAUCUCAAGAAGUCUCAACAGUCAAGGUAAACGGCUCUCGAUCAUUUUUUUUCUUUUGUAAAAAGAUGUCUUCCUCCAUAUAUUUUGCUUUAGUAUGAAGAAGUUGGGUUGAAAGAAGUCUCGUAUUGAUCGACAUUAUGGCGAAAAGAUCGUUCCUCAUUAAGAACGCCCAUGUUGAAGAUAUGUGAACUCUCGUGUUAGUGGGUACUCAUGUGGUGAUUCACAAUCACAGGGGUGAUAAGCUCGUAAGACUGAGUCUGUUUAGCCUCGUAGAGCAUCUCGAAGAGCUUUUAUAUUGUUCUUGGAAGAUCUCAUUUAUGAUCGCUAUCUUGUUGUUCUAAGCCUCUAGCUCUUCGACCCUGGCUUGAAGAGUAAACUUCUUUCUUUCCUUCCUUCGCCGCCUCACACUAGGAACUAGAGGAUGUUAUUCUGCGUGUUAUGGCUCCCUUCACUCCCCAUGUUGGAAAAUGAUGCCUAAUCAAAGGAGAGUGUACAAACGAUGGAAACCAGCUUGACAAAGCUGGGGAUAGUAGGAAUAAGUGUUGUUCCCACAGACGGUGCCAAAUGUUGAUGCAUAAAAUCAGUGAAGACUUUGGAACAACGUAAAGUGUUAAGUUUGUGACCUUCGCUCGGUUGCUUGGUCACCUAGUGAGGAUAAUAUGUAAAGAGAUAGAGAUAAGGAAGCAAACACAAGAUGUAUGUGGUUCACCCUAAGUUUGGCUACGUCCACGAAGUAGAUGAGUUCUCAUUAAUAGUGAAGAGUUUACAAAAAUACAUAGAUUGAAGCAUAAUCAUCAUUAGUGAGUUCUAAUGACUAGUUUUAGUACAAUAAUGAUAUUAGGGAUUCAUGUAGGAGAAUGGUCUUCUUUUAUAGUUGAUGAGAGUCUUCAGCUUUUGUCUGCGGUCGAUGUGAGACUCUAUGAGCUUUAUUCUGACGUUGACAUGUAUCGUGUUAUGAUUGGCCUUCUGGUUGGAGGAAAACUCUUGUGCUUCGACUGGGGUGCCUUAGCAUGAACCCCUCUGUGGAUCCUUAAAGGUAUAAAGUUGACCGAUGCUUGGUAGUUUCGGGAUUGGUCAAGUAUCGUACAAACAAAGUGUAUAACAGUAAAAAAUCUUAGAACUUUUGCCAAAAGCAUAGGCAAUUGACAAAAUAAAUAUAAGCCUGGAUCAUUUUUUUCCACACUGUAAUCGUGGGUACGAAAGAAGGUUCUCGCUUCUCAGUAGAAUCUGAAAUUACUCCCAUUUUCCCGAAGUCAUAGAGAUGCCAUAAAAUUGAGUUAUAUUCCUCACCGAUGCUAUCAUAGUAUCAUUACAGAAUGGAACCACAUUCUAUUCACAAGUGACAAAGACAAUGCCUUAAAAGGUUUCGCUAAUCUAAAUAACGGUUCAAAAAAUGUUCGUAUGUCAUACGCAUUUGAAUGGCACCGGUGGCAUUCUCGAGCGAUUUACCAUAAAUUAGGAUAAGGUGGAAAAUUAAUAAGUUCCUUAGAUCCAAAAUUUAGAAACCACAAAAUUAGUUUGAUGUCUAGUUUAAGCAAGAUAAGAGUACCAAGUAAUGUGUAAAUUAUGUAAUAUGUCAUCAAUAAAAAAUAAACACGUUAAUUAAUACUUAAUUAAUAAUCUAAUUAUCAACUAGCACAUAAUAUAAUUUACAAAAUAUAAUUUACAUACAUGAUCUCGUAGCAUUACCCAUAAUUUUAAUUUAAUCAUUGGAUGUGCUUUAAUGUGGCUAAAACAGUAAAACUCCUUGCAAGCAAAAGUAACAGCAACCAAAAUGGCGUUUUCUAACAAGCCAUGUCAGCUUCUUGGCCUUACUUCACGUGGCCGAUUUUGAAACGACAACAUUAUCACCGUCGUAUGUACUGCACGACUCGAUAAAAUCCCUAAGAAUGUCGUACAGAACUUGGGCCAUGCUGGGGUCGAAGAGCUCCACGCCAUGAAACCCCUCCUCGUCAAACUUGGCCACCACGUGCGCCCCACGUGACUCAAGUAACGCCACAAACUCUUUCUGCCUAUCCAUCAGCGGGUCCCCACCGUACCCUCUAACCAAACGCCUCGGCAACCGUUCGAUCCUCCCAUCCCCAACUCCCGCCGUCGGAUUACAAUACUCGUGAUCCCGAUCGACUCCCUUUGGCAAAGCCGUGGCCCACAUCAAGUCGUUAACGACCAGCUGGCAAAAUGUCCGAUCGUUGAUCAACCUCAUCUCGGAUUCAGUCCUAUGGACCCCACCGAAAAAAGGCUGGUUUAGUAUCAGCCCUCGGAUCUUCAUCGGCAAGAGAUCAUCCACCUCCGUGGAAGUAGAUGAUGAGAGGGAGGUUGGGGUUUGGAGGGUGGGGUUUGAAGAGCCUGAGGAAGGUUUUGUUUUCUGGGUUUAAGGGAGUGUCCUUGGAGAGGACGAGUUGGGGAGAGUUGGAGUCUGACUCGGCGGCGGUGGCGGGAAUGGACUCGGUGGGGGUGGGAGUUGGGGAGACGGUGGGGAAAGGGGUGAAGCGGGAAGACUGCUGCAGGGAUUGUUCCUAGGGUUUCUUUUCAGUCAAUCUCUUGGAAACAUAUCUUUUUGGAGAGGCCAUUUUCCUUGGAGAUUUUGCCGCGUAAGACUCAAUAUUAGUGAUACUUUUAUAUGGGAUCGCACUCUGUUAUGAGUGAUAGGGCUAGUUUGGUAUUGUAAGUGCUAAGGCUAGUUUGGGAUUGCACCCAUAAAUAUGUCUCAUUGCAAACCUCAUCCCUUCGCUCUUCUCACCCAUCUUUCACUCAAACUCUCCCAUCCCCAAGUUUUAAAAACCCAAACAAAUAAAUAAUGAAAUUUCAAACAAGGCAAGCUUACCAAGAGAAGGGCGCCAAGCCGGGAGAACACAUGUGGCAUGAAAAAAGCACUUUACAGAAAGAAAAUGAAUGAUCAUGCAAUAUUUACACGUUGCUGGGCCCGACUUAAACUAGCUCAGUUUCUCCUUUAAAGAGUUGGGCCUCCAUCCUCCCCAAUCUAUGGUACCCAACUCAAUAAGAAAACAUUAAGAAAUGUUGGACCAAGGCGGUAAAGUAAAAGUGAUGCUCACUCCAUCAUUGAUUGCCGUUAAAUUAGUUUAAAUCUUAAAUCAAUUACACCAAACUAAUCUAACGGCAACUAAUGGGGCGCAUAAGGGUAAAAAAAUCUAGAAUUUUCGCCAAAAACAUAGGCAAUUGACAAAAUAUAUAUAAGCCAGGAUCAUUUUUUUUCACUGUCUAAUCUGGAUAUGAAAGAAAGUUUUCACUAGUCAGUAGAAUCUGAAUUUACUCUCAUUUUCCCUUUUACAAGUCACAGAGAUGCCAUAAAAUUGGGUUGUAUUCCUCACCAAGCCGUCAUGACAGAAUGGAAUCACAUUCUAUUCACAAGUGACAAAGACAAUGCACUUAAAAGGUUUUGCUGAUCUAAGUACCAGUUCAAACAAUGUUCGUAUGUCAUACCGUAUGACUCAUACGUAUUCAAAUGGCACCGGUGACAUUCUCGAGCGAUUUACCAUGGUAAAUUAGGAUAGAAUGAAAUUUAAAAAGUUCAUUGGAUCCAAAAUUUAGAAACCACAAAAUUAGUGUGAUGUCUAGGAAUUGAAGAUUUCCAGCAUCCUAUUCAGCUCAAAAAAAAAAACACUUGCUUCAUUCCUAUGAGCAAUGCAGUUUGAUCACGUAAUGUGUAGUAGUGAUGGGGUGGCCAAAAAACACUUGCGUCAUUUCUCAAAAUAGUACAAAGCACAGCCGAAACACAAGUCUACAAGCAAGUCUCUCUCGUACAUUCCACCACCACAAAAAGCACUAGGCUUCUCAUACAACACUAACAACAGUAAGAGAGAAUUUAAUUCUUCCAAACAGAAUGUGCCAUGGCAAGUGCCUUCGCCCAUGAGCGGUAGG
rnacentral:lncRNA from 1 species